CGGCUCACAGUUCAGUUUGUUGGAGCAGCCGACUCAUAAUCGGCCAGUCGUCGGUUCAAGUCCGGCUGGGUCCACCA
rnacentral:tRNA from 1 species